rnacentral:rRNA from 1 species
AGCGAACGCUGGCGGCAGGCCUAAUACAUGCAAGUCGAACGCACCUUCGGGUGAGCGGCGGACGGGUGAGUAACGCGUGGAACGUGCCCUUUGGUUCGGAACAACACAGGGAAACUUGUGCUAAUACCGAAUGUGCCCUUCGGGGAAAGAUUAUCGCCAUUGGAGCGGCCCGCGUUGGAUUAGGUAGUUGGUGGGGUAAAAGCCUACCAAGCCUACGAUCCAUAGCUGGUCUGAGAGGANGAUCAGCCACACUGGGACUGAGACACGGCCCAGACUCCUACGGGAGGCAGCAGUAGGGAAUCUUGCGCAAUGGGCGAAAGCCUGACGCAGCCAUGCCGCGUGAAUGAUGAAGGUCUUAGGAUU